AGAGUUUGAUCCUGGCUCGAGGACGAACGCUGGCGGCGUGCUUAACACAUGCAAGUCGAACGGAACCUUCGGGUUUAGUGGCGAACGGGGUGAGUAAAGCGCAGGUAAUCUGCCGCAAAGACGGGGACAACGUUUCGAAAGGGACGCUAAUACCGGAUGUUGUGUAGGGUUCGCAUGAAUUUUACACUAAAGAUUUAUCGCUUUGCGAGGAGCCUGCGUCCGAUUAGGUAGUUGGUAGGGUAAAAGCCUACCAAGCCGACGAUCGGUAGCCGGUCUGAGAGGAUGAACGGUCACAAUGGAACUGAGACACGGUCCAUACUCCUACGGGAGGCAGCAGUGGGGAAUAUUCCACAAUGGGCGAAAGCCUGAUGGAGCGACGCCGCGUGAGUGAAGAAGGGCUUCGGCUCGUAAAGCUCUUUUCUUGAGGACGAAUGGUCUAUUAGAUAGGCAGAGACGGUACUUAGGGAAUAAGCCACGGCUAACUACGUGCC
rnacentral:rRNA from 1 species